CAGCCGCCGCGGGAAUACGUAGGUGGCAAGCGUUGUCCGGAAUUAUUGGGCGUAAAGGGAGCGUAGGCGGGUCGUUUAGUCAGAGGUGAAAUCCCGGGGCUCAACCUCGGAACUGCCUUUGAUACUGGCGACCUUGAGUAUGGGAGAGGUGAGUGGAACUCCGAGUGUAGAGGUGAAAUUCGUAGAUAUUCGGAAGAACACCAGUGGCGAAAGCGACUCACUGGCCCAUUACUGACGCUGAGGCUCGAAAGCGUGGGGAGCAAACAGGAUUAGAUACCCCCGUAGUCCCUGUCUCUUAUAA
rnacentral:rRNA from 1 species